rnacentral:rRNA from 1 species
GAUAAACGCUGGCGGCGUGCAUGAGACAUGCAAGUCGAACGAACGAGCUUGCUCGUUAGUGGCGGACGGCUGAGUAACGCGUAGGUGACCUGCCCCGAAGUGGGGGAUAACUGCCCGAAAGGGUGGCUAAUACCGCAUGUGGCGACACGUUCAUUCGUGUCAUCAAAGCCGCGAGGCGCUUCGGGAGGGGCCUGCGUCCGAUUAGCUCGUUGGUGGGGUAAUGGCUCACCAAGGCGACGAUCGGUAGGUGGUCUGAGAGGACGAUCACCCAGACUGGGACUGAGACACGGCCCAGACUCCUACGGGAGGCAGCAGUCGGGAAUUUUGCUCAAUGGGCGAAAGCCUGAAGCAGCAACGCCGCGUGAGGGAUGAAGGCCUUCGGGUUGUAAACCUCUUUUCUCAGGGACGAUGAUGACGGUACCUGAGGAAUAAGUCACGGCUAACUACGUGCCAGCCGCCGCCGUAA